AACGAACGCUGGCGGCAUGCCUAACACAUGCAAGUCGAGCGCCCGUAGCAAUACGGGAGCGGCGCACGGGUGAGUAACGCGUGGGAACCUGCCCAGAGGUUCGGGACAACCGCGGGAAACUGCGGCUGAUACCGGAUGAUACCUGAGGGUCAAAGAUUUAUCGCCUUUGGAGGGGCCCGCGUCGGAUUAGGUAGUUGGUGGGGUAACGGCCUACCAAGCCUAUGAUCCGUAACUGGUCUGAGAGGAUGACCAGUCACACUGGGACUGAGACACGGCCCAGACUCCUACGGGAGGCAGCAGUGGGGAGUAUUGGACAAUGGGGGGCAACCCUGAUCCAGCAAUGCCGCGUGGGUGAUGAAGGCCUCGGGUUGUAAAGCCUUUCGGCGGGGACGGAUGAUGACGGUACCCGCAGAAGAAGCCCCGGCUAACUUCGUGCCAGCAGCCGCGGUAAU
rnacentral:rRNA from 1 species